AAGGAGCGGGCAUGUUCUGAGCUGUGUCCAGAGAAAUUUCUGAUCACUCUGAGACCUGCCAAAAGCCAGUCCAUUUGCUGUCUGGGCUCAGCCUUUUCCACUCCUCUAGACGUGACGGCUGGGAAUGCAGAGACAGGAUUAUCUCCGCCCCGGGCCUGGUUUUGUCUGUUGCUGUGGGUCCUGGGAGAGUGGAGGGAUGUGUACAGGAGCUCACAGGAACUUGAGGGAAUGCCGACAUCAGCUCAGCUUCUCCAGCCACCAAAGCCCUGGACAGACCUACAAGAAGUGCAGAGAGGAUCAGCACACAAGCCUGGAGUUGGGCCUGGAGCCUUCAGCAGCAGGCAGCUGGAGAUGCCACCACACUUUUAAGAUCCUGGGCUGAGUGGCCAGGAAUAACUACUCCUCUGGGGGAGGAAAGAACACAGCUGUUUACCUCCUGUGCCUGAUCCAAACCCAGCGAACCCACUGCUCGGGGUCCCGAAGCCUGAGGUCUGCUGAGACAAGGAUCCGAAGGUGGGUGCGUUCUGACUGGCGAGGGUACCGAAGGACGUAGUGUUGCUGCUGCUCCCGAACCUGGGUGGGGUGAGAAAGGGACGGGGUUGGCAUGGCCCUAGUCCUCAUGCUGCCCACACCUUACUCCUGUCACCUAUCUUGGAUGUAUCACACAGGAGCUGUAGUGACAAGCUUGGACCAAGCCAAAAGACUCAGAGGAAACCAGCUUCCAGCCCAGAGUAAGCCUUUACUGAGGCUCUGGGAAGGAAGACAUCAGAAAUGCAAGUGUGAGACCCACCCCAGUGGGGACCUGAGUUCUCAGCACUGACUAACCCCAGGUCCCUGAGGACAAACACAGUGCUUCUUGCUCUCCCCCGACACCUUCACUGAGAGCGACAUUCUCAUCUCUUCACCACCCGCGUGGCCUCAUCCCUGCCAGUCCCCCCUCUGCCUUGGUUCCGCUGCUGCUGCUGCUUUGGGGACUCUAUGUUGCCUAGGUUGGCCUCAAAUACUCCUCCUGCUUCAGCCUCCUGAGGGCUUGUUUCACAAGCUAGGGCCGUGGAGUCUGGUGAUUCUAUUCCUUUUACUCUUUGCUGGGAUGCGAGUCACCACAGUGUGGAAGAUCAAGCUAAGGCUUCCUUAGGGCUCAGCAUGUCUCCUACUGAGCUGAAUGCCCAGCGCUCUACUCACUUUCUAAGACUCUGUACGUGUGUGUGAUGUUUUGUGGGUGGAUGCAGGCAUGCAUGUGACACAGCGGGUAGUGGCGGUUAGAGGACAACCAUAGAGAAUACAGCCUUUCCUUCUAUCAUGGUUUGAGGCAGCAGCUUUCAUGGUGAGCGCUUUUACAUACUAAGCCUAUCACUGGCCUAUCUGCUUUAAUGACUUGGUAAAGGGCCCUCUGCAUAUGAAGAUAACUCAUCAUGUUUCCAUUUCCUGUGUGUGAGGGGACACUUUCUAAGUUAUUUCACGCAGAAUUGUGUUUCAUAAAAAUCAAUACAAGAAGCAAUA
ensembl:processed_transcript Gm16534 predicted gene 16534